GUCGAGGGGUAGGGUUACUUCGGUAAUCUGAGACCGGCGCACGGGUGCGUAACGCGUAUGCAAUCUACCUUUUACUAUGGGAUAGCCCAGAGAAAUUUGGAUUAAUACCAUAUAGUAUAUUUGAAUGGCAUCGUUUGAAUAUUAAAGAUUUAUCGGUAAAAGAUGAGCAUGCGUCCCAUUAGUUAGUUGGUGUGGUAACGGCAUACCAAGACGAUGAUGGGUAGGGGUCCUGAGAGGGAGAUCCCCCACACUGGUACUGAGACACGGACCAGACUCCUACGGGAGGCAGCAGUGAGGAAUAUUGGUCAAUGGAGGCAACUCUGAACCAGCCAUGCCGCGUGCAGGAUGACGGUCCUAUGGAUUGUAAACUGCUUUUGUACGGGAAGAAAACAAACUACGAGUAGUUAAUUGACGGUACCGUAAGAAUAAGGAUCGGCUAACGCCGUGCCAGCAGCCGCGGUUAAUACGGAGGAUCCAAGCGUUAUCCGGAAUCAUUGGGUUUAAAGGGUCCCGUANGGCGGCCAUAUAAGUCAGUCCUGCAAGUUUUUGGCUUACCAAAAAUUGCCAUUGAUACUGUAGGGCUUGAAUAUCUGUGAAGUAACUAGAAUAUGUAGUGUAGCGGUGAAAUGCUUAGAUAUUACAUGGAAUACCGAUUGCGAAGGCAGGUUACUAACAGAUGAUUGAUGCUGAUGGACGAAAGCGUGGGUAGCGAACAGGAUUAGAUACCCUGGUAGUCCACGCCGUAAACGAUGGAUACUAGCUGUUUGGUUUUCGGACUGAGUGGCUAAGCGAAAGUGAUAAGUAUCCCACCUGGGGAGUACGGUCGCAAGACUGAAACUCAAAGGAAUUGACGGGGGCCCGCACAAGCGGUGGAGCAUGUGGUUUAAUUCGAUGAUACGCGAGGAACCUUACCAGGGCUUAAAUGUAGAUUGACAGAUUUGGAAACAGAUUUUUCUUCGGACAAUUUACAAGGUGCUGCAUGGUUGUCGUCAGCUCGUGCCGUGAGGUGUCAGGUUAAGUCCUAUAACGAGCGCANCCCCUGUUGUUAGUUUGCCAGCACGUAAUGGUGGGAACUCUAGCAAGACUGCCCAGUG
rnacentral:rRNA from 1 species